UCUUAUGAUAUCAAAGAAACCCUAGUAGACGCUCUAAACUCUAAUUUACAAGCAUCCAAAUACUAUUUUCUUAAUAUCUCAAGAAUCCAAUACAAAAAUAUCAAAAAACUUAUGUAAAAAGUUUAUUAACAUGAAAUCACACAUUCUUCGAAAUUUUAAGCAAAAAUCUUAUCAAAUUGCUCAAGAUAUAGCUCAAGACACAACCACUAAUAAAUCGAGUAUUUUACUAUCCUUAGAUUACAUGCACUGACUUCAAAAUCCAAUAACUCCUUCAUUUCAACUUAGAAUC
rnacentral:lncRNA from 1 species